rnacentral:siRNA from 1 species
UAGAGGGACAAUAUUUGCACAG